CUUCAGCAGGCUCAAUGUUCAGUGCGGAGCUCAUGACCCUGAGAUCAUGACCUGAGCUGAAAUCAAGAGUCAGACACUUAAUGGACUGAGCCACCCAGGCACCGCAAACCUACACACUUGGAACAGCAUCACCCAAUCUCCUACAGAGAGGUUGGGGGUAUGAUUUCUGUAUUUCCUUCCAUUUUAAAAGUUUCAUGUGCUAUCGGGGCAUACUUAUCAAACAGAAAGAGAAACCUUAUUCAGUUUAUAUACACAGUAUUAAUGCUAUGUGUUUACAGAGAGGUUAAAAAUGAUUCUUUGAGGGUGUUUCCUCUGAGCAGCAAGAUAUUAGGUGACACUCUCUGAUUUUCAAACAUUUUAGCCAUGGGAGACUCUGAUAUGCUAAACCAGUUUAUUAACUUCCUCUUUUAUAGAGCGUUUUUAAAAAAAAACAAGUUAAGGAAACCUGCCAAAACGUUUUAGUGCAUACUAUUACAAGUGGGGCCUUUGUGUGGUGAUGGUGUUCGGUAAGUCUUUUUGGUAUUUGGUAAGAUAGUAUUUGGUAAGUUUCUAUAAAAAGAUAAGUGGAGAAAAGUUUUUGUGCACUGAAAUGGUCACUUUGAAAGGAUGCUUUAAAAAAAUCAACAAUUCUUAAAAGGAUUUAUUUCCUUUCUAAAUGUUUGUAUAAGAAAGGGUAACCUUAUUUCCCACUUUCAAGUAGGAUUCUCCUCUAACAGAAUCGCCGAUGGCAAUCAACUCAGCAACUAAUCUUUCCUCUUCACCUUGUAAGGUAAGCGACAUGUCCAGUGAACUGAAAAUGAAAGUUUGGCUAAAAGGUAAGUCCCGUCUUUAGAGUUCAUUCACUUUAUGACCAGGACGGUCUGGUGCCUGAGGCCUGGGAUUUGAAGAGGGUCCCAACGCCUCCUAGUGGUGUAAAGGGGCAGAUGAUCUCCUGGUUCCUCUCUUCUCUCUUCCUUUCAGAGAACCACAGGAAGCAUUGGACAGCGUGGACAUUUACAUUUCUGGGCGCUGAGCAUACCCUUCCCUUUGGAAGUUACCUCAAGAAUAUUCUGUGUUAAAAAAAAAGAAUAUUCUGUGUUUUUUUAAAAAAAUAUUCUGUAUUUAAUUAAGAAGACAGUAACAUCACAUUUUUUUUUUUAGUUUUGUAGCUUUCUGAGCAUUUUCAGAUGGUGGAUUACAAAUUUUGGGGUUUCACGGGCUAGUAAAAUUACCAAAAAAAAAAAAGAGGAAUAAUAACAUAGAUUGUCCAACUUUGUAUUUUGUCAAAUAAUUGAUAUCUCAGAGAGAAAAAAACUUAUCAAAUAUUAUCACCACCACUGAUGAAAGAAAGAACAUGAUCUUAGCAAAGGAGCAAAGAAGUAAUUUCAUAUUUUUAAAAAAGUCCUUUAAAUAGCCUAAAAUGGACUUUUUGGAAAACUUACUAUACUAUCUUGAAUUUUCUCAUUCUUCUGCAGAGCAGUGAAAACUUUGUCACAGACUUUCACAACCAACAUCUGAAGGAGGCGAAGCAGGUAUUAACGUUCCUCUUACCUGUCGAGAAGCAUGCGCCAAGAGAUGUGGAGUAAGAUGGCCUGGCGAGGCUGACAUUACUCAUGCCCAAACCAUGCUUGGGCCAUUGAGGCCCUCCACUCCAGGCUAGAAUCCUGGUUUAGAGACUUAAAGCUAGGAAAGCUUGGGACAUUUAGUAACACCUGUAGGCCCCAGAAAAAGAUUGUAAUCAGCUUGACCUAAGGGGCUGGCUUUACUGUAGGGCCAAAGAGCAGAUGAGUUUUGGUCAGUUCAGUUGCUUCUCCUUGGCUCACUGGCAGAUUAGAGUGACCUCCUCAAGGCCAAGGCGGCUAACUAAGUGUUUUUCCUGGAUUUCCCAGAUUACAUGUGGGGACUGGUUUGCUCAGCCAGCAGAAUCCAGUUUCUGUCUCCUAUUUUCCCCAUUGAUUUGUAGUCCCAGACAAACACAGUGUGAGUAGGCAUUGCUCUUCAGAGACCACGGCCAUCUUGGCAGGCCUAGGAGCUCACUGGUAUCCUUUCAUAAUCUCCUUUUCUCCUUAAAAAAAUGCUAGGGAGAGUAAAAGAAUAGAGAGGGAUGUUCUUUAUUCGGAAAAUCUAAAACUAUAUCCCUGAAUGUCUGGGUGGCCUUGGUGGGUACAAAUUUAAUGGACAUCAGAUAAGCCGGCUUGUACCUCCCACAGUGGCAUGGACUUUUUUUUUUUUUUUUUUUUUUUUGCUGGGAAUACAUUGCUUGAACCUAAAGUAAACAGUAAUCUGAAAAUUCUUUAGGGGUUCAUACAUGUGCUUGGCCAAAAAGAAAGUGAUCUCUUUCAUUCUUUCUUUCCUUCUCUGACAUGACCCACACUCACAGAGGAAAAAGGAGCAGAGGUUGUACUGGAGGGGGAUAGAGACAAGCCUAAUUUUCUCUUUCCCAUUUUUCACUCUUUUCUCAAACUACUUUUCCUUCUUUUUAUUAGCUUAGAUGAUUUUACUGAUGAGAAACUGGAAACACAGAGAGGUGAGGGAAAUUGCCCAAGAUCACAGAGAUCAUGGUAUGGUAAAAUGAUGUCAGAGGAGAAAGGAAUUUGAAUCUUCAUGAAGCAACCAAAUGUAGGAGAAAAUAGCACGGAGCUGGAUUCAGACAGACCCAGAUUUAAAUAAUGACAUGAUCAUUUGACAUCAGUAAGACCUUGAGCUGUACUUUCCCAUUCUGAAAAAUGGGGAUAUAAAUACUCCCUCAGUGUGUUGUUGGUAGAACGUAAUGAGAAUAUGCAUGUAAAGCUAUUAGUAAAGUGUCUGGCUCACCGUGGCCACUUUCCUUGACUGACAGUGGCUAUUAUUCUUAUUGAGUUGUGAGAGGAUUAACUCAAGGGUCCCAUGCUCAACUCCACGUGCUAUACUAUGACUUUAAUAACGUCUGUUAACUUUAAUAUUCCCUUCACUACUUGUUUUAAAACUAAGGAAAACAAAUGUUGUUAUUGUGUUUAAGAUUCUUUAAAAAAAAAAAAAAGAUUCUGCAAACUGUCGCUAAGACGCAAUCACAGAAGAAGAGCAUCAGGUUAUAAAAAUUAUUGAGGCUCAGAAGACAAAAAAGAACUGAGCAAGAGGGAUGGCCUGAGGCCCCUCGGGGCACGCGGCACCUGUAGCUAAUGGUCUGACAGGAGGCUAAUGGUCCACGAGAACACGCCUCGGGUUUUCCCGGAAUCUUUGGACUCCGAUUCAGGUUUAUCUGCCUGAACAGUUUUCCCUUCCCCCACAGCGAAUGAAUCAUUUCCUCCUCUCAUAUCCUGCCAGACAUCUCAAACCAUGCCUCCCGUUCUUGGUUAAGUGCCCACACUGAACUCACGGUGAUGAAAAAGCAACUGCUGGAGAACAAUUUUUCAUUCUCAUUUAUAAGCCUCUUGAAAGCGGCUUUUUGGGAGAAGCCGGUGGGCACGAUUCCCCGUGCCGGCUGGAUGCCUUGAUGAACACGCAAUGUCAGCACUGAAGUGCUACAGCGGCUCGUAAGUCAUGGAGCCCCGGGAGUGAGCGAGCGGACCGGAUUCAUUUCCCUGACACAACCGAACAAGUAGAACAAGUCGGGCAUCUGCCAGUGUCGGGUAACUUCAUCCAGAGCUAAGCGGAAAGUCACUUUACAUAAAAUGAUGAGCUUCUGCUGCCAUCUGGUGGAGUUCUCGCCUUUAAUCAUUAUUAAUUAGAGUCACUUGCCAGACACUAGCAAGCAGGGGUUCUCAAAGUGAGUUCCUAGGACUAGCAGGAUUGGCAUUACCUAUCGUUUACUACCUAUGGCAUUUCGCCAGUUACUUAAUCUUUCUAAACCUUGUUUCCUUAGGGAUACAAUAUCUAACUCAGAGUACUGUGAAGAUUGAAACAGAUAGGUAAGUGACAUGAGCAGUAAUAAUAAAAAUGCAAGGUGCCUCGCAUUAAAUUUAACUAAGGAUGUGCAUUUAUGAAAAAAUGUAAAACCUUUGUUUGAAAGCUAUUUGUGGAUACCUAAAUGAAAGUGUUCAUUGGGAGAGCAGAAUCUCAGGCUGUAUUUUAGACCGACUGGAUAAUAGGAUCUCCAAGUUAGUUGUACAGACAUUAAAAUUUGGAAAGCACUGCUUUUGAUAAGAUAAAUGCUUAUUCUUAUUAUUCCUAGUUGUGACCAUAAAUAUCCUUAUGUUGUUUUGAUAAAAAAAAAUUGCGUCAUUGAAGACAUCCGUCACAAGACAAGAGUAUAAAGUGGAGGUUAAGAGCGAUGGGUUUGGGGUUAGACCGCACUUAUUUUUUAUUCCACCUCUGACCACUUACUACCAAGGACAUGUGGUGGGUUACCUAUUCUUUCUGAGCCUUAGUUUGCUUAGUUGUGAAAUAGUCAUGAAAAUAUCUGACCCAUAGCACUGUGAGGAUUUAAAUAGAAAAUGUAAUAACAUAAAUAGUAGUAAUAAAAAAUAUAAGGUACCUAGUAUUAAAACUAACAAAAGAUGUGUGAUUAUGAAAAAGAGUAUAAAAUUUCAUUGCAAGGCAUUUGAAAAUACUUAGAGAGAAAGAAGAACCCACGUUCAAGGAGAGGAAGACUCAAUGGUGUAACACCGUCAGUCUUCUUUAUAGUAAUCUCUUCUAAUGCAAUUCAAAUUACAACCUCAACUGGGCUCUUUGUUGAACUUGACAGGCUGAUCCUGAAAUUUAUGUAAAAGAAACAGACUAAGAAUAGCUUAGACAGUUCUGAAAAAGAAUCACAUGGGAGAGUCUCUCUCCCACGUACCAAGACUAACUAUAAAACCCUAACAGUUAAGGUGGUGUAGUGUGAUACAUGGAAGGAUUAGUGGAUCAGACUAGAGCUCAGAUUUGGGAAUUUGAUAAAUGACAGUGGUGGUUUUACCAAUCAUUGGGACAUGCCUGAGCUACUUGAUAAAUGACUCUACAAUAAUUGGCUAUAUGGAAAAAUUCCUCCUCCAAAUACACAGAGACCUCUUCUUUAUAGUAUAAACUAAAUUAAAUUAUUUCCUGAUUGAUUGACUAUCUAAAGGUAUACAAUAAAACUUAAGAAUUUUGAAGAAAAUAGAAAAGAAUUUUUUAUAAUCUUAGUACAAGAAAAAACAUAUUAAGCAAACCCCUGUGCCAAAACUAUAAAAUGAAAGAUUCUGAAACAUUUGAUUACCAUAAAGUUGGAAAUUUCUGUGCAUGAAAAUACACAAUAAACAAAGUGAAAAGACCAGACACGCUUUGGGAGAAGAUAUUUUCAUACAUAAUUGACUAAAUAUUUGUAUCAGAAAACAUAAAAUAAUCCCACAAAUGAAGAAAACAAAAGAUAACCCAAUGAAAAGAUGGACAAAAUAUACGAACAUACCCUUUCCCAAAGAAAAAAUACUGGUAUGUGUUAGAUACAUGGCAAAGUGUGCAGCCUCAGCACUUAACAGUGAAAUGCAAAUUGACAAGUGAGAUGGCAUAAACAAUUAAAAAAUAGAGCUACCGCGUGAUCCAGAAAUUCCACUCCUGGGUAUUUAUCCAAAGAAAAUGAAAACAUUAACUUGAAAAGAUAUCUACCUCCCCAUAUUCACUGCAUCAUUAUUUAUAGAUUCCAAGAUAUGGAACCAACCUAAGUGCUCAUCAAUAGAUGAACAGAUAAAAAAAAUGUGA